AUGAAAGAUACCAGUUUGAAACAGGUCUAUCCACAGAAGAGAUACAGCAUGAGGCAGUAGCAGUGCAUGCUUCCUCAGUUCUCUUUUGGACAGGCCAUCUCUAAUGGUGAGAGGGGAAUUCAGAUUCCAUCUCCAUAAGAGUGUCGCA
rnacentral:sRNA from 1 species